AUAAUAAUCUCAUUAUGAGGCUUUUAAAGGUGCGCAAUGAGGGAUCAGCAAACUAAAGUUGUUAUAUCUUGACCAUUCAAGUGUAUCUUGGAGCGCAACUUGGUACUUGCAAGGAUAUGACUACAACUUCACCUUUCUAACCAUAAAGGGCGCAGGAUAUACAGUCCCAGAAUACAAGGUA